rnacentral:miRNA from 1 species
AAAUGAACACGAGUGAGAGAGAGAGAGAGGAGGGAAGGAAGGAGAGAAAGAAAGAGAGAGGUGUCAAAAAGUAUGAAGGAAAAACGAGAAGAAGAGAAAAAAAGGAAAGCAAAAGCAAAAAAAAAGUAACUAACAACUAUAAGUCAUCACAUCACAAAUCUUUUCUCUCCCUCUCUCUCUCUCUCUCUCUCUCUCUCUCUCUCUCUCUCUCUCUCU